rnacentral:rRNA from 1 species
CUGUGUGUUGUUGGGUAGGGGAGCGUUCUGUAAGCCUGUGAAGGUGGCCUGUGAGGGUUGCUGGAGGUAUCAGAAGUGCGAAUGCUGACAUAAGUAACGAUAAAGCGGGUGAAAAGCCCGCUCGCCGGAAGACCAAGGGUUCCUGUCCAACGUUAAUCGGGGCAGGGUGAGUCGACCCCUAAGGCGAGGCCGAAAGGCGUAGUCGAUGGGAAACGGGUUAAUAUUCCCGUACUUGGUGUUACUGCGAAGGGGGGACGGAGAAGGCUAUGUUGGCCGGGCGACGGUUGUCCCGGUUUAAGCGUGUAGGUGUGUGUUCCAGGUAAAUCCGGUUCACUUUAACACUGAGGCGUGAUGACGAGGCACUACGGUGCUGAAGCAACAAAUGCCCUGCUUCCAGGAAAAGCCUCUAAGCAUCAGGUAACAUCAAAUCGUACCCCAAACCGACACAGGUGGUCAGGUAGAGAAUACCAAGGCGCUUGAGAGAACUCGGGUGAAGGAACUAGGCAAAAUGGUGCCGUAACUUCGGGAGAAGGCACGCUGACACGUAGGUGAAGUGAUUUACUCAUGGAGCUGAAGUCAGUCGAAGAUACCAGCUGGCUGCAACUGUUUAUUAAAAACACAGCACUGUGCAAACACGAAAGUGGACGUAUACGGUGUGACGCCUGCCCGGUGCCGGAAGGUUAAUUGAUGGGGUCAGCGCAAGCGAAGCUCCUGAUCGAAGCCCCGGUAAACGGCGGCCGUAACUAUAACGGUCCUAAGGUAGCGAAAUUCCUUGUCGGGUAAGUUCCGACCUGCACGAAUGGCGUAAUGAUGGCCAGGCUGUCUCCACCCGAGACUCAGUGAAAUUGAACUCGCUGUGAAGAUGCAGUGUACCCGCGGCAAGACGGAAAGACCCCGUGAACCUUUACUAUAGCUUGACACUGAACAUUGAGCCUUGAUGUGUAGGAUAGGUGGGAGGCUUUGAAGUGUGGACGCCAGUCUGCAUGGAGCCGGCCUUGAAAUACCACCCUUUAAUGUUUGAUGUUCUAACGUGGACCCGUGAUCCGGGUUGCGGACAGUGUCUGGUGGGUAGUUUGACUGGGGCGGUCUCCUCCUAAAGAGUAACGGAGGAGCACGAAGGUUGGCUAAUCCUGGUCGGACAUCAGGAGGUUAGUGCAAUGGCAUAAGCCAGCUUGACUGCGAGCGUGACGGCGCGAGCAGGUGCGAAAGCAGGUCAUAGUGAUCCGGUGGUUCUGAAUGGAAGGGCCAUCGCUCAACGGAUAAAAGGUACUCCGGGGAUAACAGGCUGAUACCGCCCAAGAGUUCAUAUCGACGGCGGUGUUUGGCACCUCGAUGUCGGCUCAUCACAUCCUGGGGCUGAAGUAGGUCCCAAGGGUAUGGCUGUUCGCCAUUUAAAGUGGUACGCGAGCUGGGUUUAGAACGUCGUGAGACAGUUCGGUCCCUAUCUGCCGUGGGCGCUGGAGAACUGAGGGGGGCUGCUCCUAGUACGAGAGGACCGGAGUGGACGCAUCACUGGUGUUCGGGUUGUCAUGCCAAUGGCACUGCCCGGUAGCUAAAUGCGGAAGAGAUAAGUGCUGAAAGCAUCUAAGCACGAAACUUGCCCCGA